ensembl:processed_transcript
ACACACUCUGGCUACUGCACAUGCGCAGAUCUCAUAAAUGAAUCCGACUUUAAUCAACUUAAUUAAGAUCUAUCAUCAAAUUAUUCGAAUUUUUGGAGGCCGGGGUGGCGUGCAUGAGCCGCGGUCAGACAGUCACCAAUCACCGGGCGGCUAAAUGGAUCGACGGAGGAUAAAACCAUUAAAAGAUGCGGAGAAACACAUCACCAGCUCCACUGACAAGACCCAUUCACUGGAAACCGAAUAUAUAGAAGGUUACUAAGUUUUGCAGCAUUGAUGCCGAUCAUAAGGACGAGACCCUCGGCCGGCUGGUGAAUGAUGACCAUCUGCACCCUAACUGCACUGUCAAUAAGAUCGUUGUUCAGAGAAAACCUCAUUUGUGCCUUUUUGCAAUCAGGGAUAUUUUCUUUGGAGAGGAAAUAACGUUUGACUAUGGCGCAUGUGAUCGGCCUUGGAGAAAGCUUUCAUUGAAGGAUGCCCAUAUGACUGCAGAAGAAAACUGCUCCGACAACUCUCUGAUGAGCUUUCAUUGAAGUAUGAUCAUAGGAUGAGAAGAAGAGAACUGCUCUGCUCCAGUAGGAGACCCACAACCCUCUGAUGAGCUUAUAUUGAAGGAUGACCAUAUGACAGAGGAAGAGAACUGCUCUGCUCCAGUACGUGACCCACAACUCUCUGAUGAGGUUUGCUGAAGUAUGACCGUAUGACAGAAGGAGAGAACAGCUCUGCUCCAGUACGAGACCCACAACUCUGAUGAGCUUAUAUUGAAGGAUGACCAUAUGACAGAGGAAGAGAACUGCUCUGCUCCAGUACGAGACUCACAACUCUCUGAUGAGAGAAAGUUACAGUGGAUCGUGAUUUUGGAGGAGGUGAAGUCCAAUCUAAAAGAGUCCCCUCAAGUAUCAUCACCAUGGUACAGUGUCUGUGAAGAUAGUGAAGCAGACCCAGCAUUCACAAAAAAGAGAGGUCCCAUAAAGAGAAGAUCCUGGAGCAAACAGGAAGUACAUGCUGUGGUGAAACCUGAACCAUUGGCUCUAAAAACCAGAGAUUGGUCAGCUUUGGAUUUUUAUAUUAAAAACUGAAUCUCGGCUCUUUAGAUAAAAAAUCUGAAUAACACUUUUAUAGUAAGUAUACACUAUACAUCAUUAGUUUAGCACUAACUCUACAUUAAUAGACUUUAGGAAGCAGUUUAUAAAUACAGCUUCAAACGCUGUAUUCUUGACUUGAC